UACAGAGGUCUCAAGCGUUGUUCGGAUUCAUUGGGCGUAAAGGGUGCGUAGGUGGCGCUGUAAGUCGGGUGUGAAAUUUCGGAGCUUAACUCCGAAACUGCAUUCGAUACUGCGGUGCUUGAGGACUGGAGAGGAGACUGGAAUUCAUGGUGUAGCAGUGAAAUGCGUAGAGAUCAUGAGGAAGACCAGUGGCGAAGGCGGGUCUCUGGGCCGAUACUGACACUGAGGAGCGAAAGCGUGGGGAGCGAACAGG
rnacentral:rRNA from 1 species